AUGGAGAUCUCUUAUCAAGAACAUGCAUCCAUCCAAGGGCCUUGAAAAGCGAGAGGGGGGGGAGGUCUGGAGGGAGGGAUUCCUCGCCCACCUCCAGAAUUCAACAGUUUGCUUGUGCGUAGCCAUUGUCGACUGUGCUGACUACAUAAUGAAGCUUUUACUCUAAAAGCUAGCUAGCAGAGUCUUCGGCUAAUGCAUGCCUGGCAAACCGGCAAGUCACAAAACGGCGUCGGGCUCGGUGACGAGUCUU
rnacentral:sRNA from 1 species